UAUGGUCUUAAUAAUUUUUUUUUUUACCUUAUAUAUAUAGUUAAGUUUAAUUUUUUAAUAGAAAAGAAGAAAACAAUUAUGACAGUAAACACACAUAAUUUGUUACCCAUCAUGAAAUUAUUUUACAACAUAAAAAAUUACAUGAAUUCUAAACCCAUAAUGAGAAGAAAAAGCAUACACGUGAAAGACAUUGUCAUGCAAAAAAUAAGAAAAAUAAAUAAAAAUCAAACUUGGAGAUGUGGUGCAGGGGUGACGCUAGAAAACAAUGCCCUCCAAGGCUCCAACUAUGAUGAUGUCAUACUUCUCUUAGUCUUUAAUUAUAGAGGUGAUACCAUGAAUCUUGUCGAAUUCUUCUCCCUACGUGAUUUCAAUCUCUCGAAUUAAUUGACUGUUCAUUUUUUUAGGUCUACUUGCUAAAGAUUUUUCAGUUUCAACAAUUGAUGAAGCAACGUUUUUAUCCUAUAACAGCCAGCAAUUUGUAAAGUUUUCAAGGUAGGCAUUGCUCCUUCCUCAACUUUCAACAACUCCUCUAAUGCAGGCAAACCCCCCAACUUUAGAAAUUCGAGCUGAGAGAACCCUCCAGAAGAACAUGUCAUUUUAUUUCCAAUAUAAGAUUCCACCAUUAAUUUAAGAACCCUCAAGUUUGGUAACUUGUCUAGGGUCAACAUCGGGUCUUGCUCCAACUCACAAUUUUGCAAUUUCAACUCAACAAGGUUGGAUGGGUAGAAUUCAUAUGAAUUCGUGAACCUUGUCCCACGCAAGUAUAGUUUCCUAAGUUGGGGUUAAUUUUUGUAAACCACUACUCUCCAACCAACUGUAGCUAUCUGGUCUUAAAUAUAAUGUUUGGAGGUUGGUCAUCUUAUCAAGACCCAAAUCACCACUAAAGCACCUCUCCAUUAUCGGCUGCCUUAAGAUCUUGCCAAAGCCAGUGUGUAGAUGUUUCAAUUGGUGCAACUUCCAAAUUGAAAAUGGAAUCAUCACAAAGCUAUCGCGUAAAUCCAGGGUUUGUAGGUUAACGAGUUUACCUAUAGACCAUGGAAGACUACCAAUUGCAUUCUUGAAAGAAAAAUAUUUCAAGUGAAUGAAUUCCCCAAUUUCCUUUGGUAAGUCCCAAUGAUGUCGUACAGUUAGUGUUAGAUCUAAGACUGUCAGCAAUUUAGUUCUUAGGCAAGAUACCAAACUUGAGAGAGGGAAAUCAAGAGAACAAGUCAAAGAUCGGAUGAGGCGACAGGUAUGCAAAUGUUGAGAAAUAUUUUUAGAGUCAUGAGCAAUAAGUCGGCGAGGGUUAAAAGGGUAUGCAAAGAUGAUAUUUCGGUGUACCUCAAAAAAUUUUGAAUCUUUGGCUUUUGAAAUAGCGAGGUCACGAAGCAGAUCGUGGAUGCGACAAGACUUCACUCUUCCAUCCCAUUUUCUUCCGGCCACCUGAAUCAUGCUUCUGUGAAUCAGUUCUUCUAAAUACUCUUCAGCUACGUCUUCCACCAUUUCUUCACCCCUUCCUUGUACAAAUCCCUCUGCAAUCCACAUCUGCAUCAAUUUGCUUGCCUUAAUUUGGCAGUCCUCCGGAAAAACACCGCAGUAGAGAAAGCAAGACUUCAAGAAGUAAGGCAAGUUACUAUAACUCAAAGCAAGAAUUCUCAAGCAUGACUCGGGGCCUUGACUUAGAUGCCACUCCAUGCUUUUAAGUAUUUUCGCCCAUGAAGAUUUCGUCUUCUCUUUUCUUGAUAGAAGCCCUCCUGAUACCACAAUGGCUAGAGGCAAGCCUUUGCAUUUCUCUGUAAUCUUCUUUCCCAGAUCUUCCAACUCUGCAGGACAUACACCUGGUGAUGUACUUCCAAUCGGAAAAGUUUUCUUGAGAAAGAGCUCCCAACUCUCUUUUUCACCUAAAGGACGAAGUUCAUAGGGCUUUGCAUAGGCAUCCAAAGCAAUUUGUUGGUCGCGUGUAGUGAUGAGCACUCUUCUCUUGUUUGACUCAGGAAGAUGCGAACGCAAUCCAUGCCAAACUUGGAUGCUCCAUACAUCAUCCAACACUAUCAAAUACCUUUUAUCUUUGAGGUAACCAUUAACCUCCUCCCCCAACUGAUUCUCAACCAUAUUACUAAUUUCAGUUUUUCUUUUAGGGCUGAGAUUAGUCAUGAUGCAGUAGGCUAUCCCCAUCAGAAGCUCCCGGAUUCUAUAAUCUUGAGAUACAUACACCAAAGCGCGACAUUCAAAGUGGCGGUUAACUUCAAUGUGGUUGUAGACUUUCUUAGCAAGAGUAGUUUUGCCAAGGCCACCCAUCCCCACGAUGGCCACCACUCUGCUCUCUGACUCUUCCUCCACCAGCAUUUGCUUCACUGCUUCCGCCUCCCCUGUCAUGCCCACUACGUCCGCUUCCUCAACAAUUGGAACCCUUUUCUCUCUUUGCACCAUCCCUUCAGUACUGGAAGAGCUCCCAGCUUCAGAAGGGAUUCCACUUUUGAUGUUGUACCUGUCUUUAUUAGCCAGAAUCUUUUCAAUUGUGAUAUUGAUCUCUCUUAUCCGGCCAUCAAGCUCAUGGAUAAAUGGUAACUUGUCAGCAAAUCUCACGCAUGUGGGCAAGAACCGAUUGGGUCUCCGCUGCCGUUGGUGUUCAAUCUCGAACAUGAACUCAUCGAUGACAUCUUCAGCAUCAUAAGCUACGUCCCUGAUCUGAUUCACCCACAGCUUGAGUCUUUUGUCAUGGUCGCAUUUUGUAUCUAUAUCUGCAUCUUCCAGGACGAGGCGCAUCCACUCCAGCUCAUUUCGCAGCAGCCUCACUUGCCCUUCAACCUCUCCGAAGAGGGAUGCUUCUUGUACAACCAGGUUGCCCAACUUCUCCAGAAAAAACGUAAUAUUGCCGUCCGCCAUUCUUUUAGUUACUCAAAUCGUCUUCUUCCAAUGACAAACAAGAGAGAAUAUUGAACAAACGAAAAUGGACAAAGAAAAAGAGGAAAAUUAGGAAGUAGUGGAGAGGUAAGAGGUUGGUAUGCUAUGCUAAUGGCUUCCUGGAGAAGAGCCAGAUGAAGAUAUCCCAGAAGUCAAUUGGCCGGUAAAUGAAGGAAAAAGCAUAUAAGGAUAUAAUGGAAAUGACUGGAACAAUCUGACUGGAGGUCUGAAGGGAGAAAAUAUUAACAAAAAUACAAGUGGAAAUGGCUCUCGGCCUUUGACGAGGAAGAAAUUAAGGCUGGGUAUGACCUUCUUUGCCCACAAAAUCUCUAUAUAUAUCCAUGCCCUUUCUUCUCUUCAUUCUCAAGGCAUUCCUUUCUUCAUUCCAAUAUUAUCCUUUUCUUUAAGGUUAAGAACAAUCACAUGGAUGCUCUCUGCAUUGUUUUUGGAUAAUGGGGUUUUGCAAGAGGUAAAAUAAAAGUAUAAUACUUGAGAGGCAGAUUGAAGUUAUCCCAGGUGCUUUUCUUGAAGCAUUGUUACUUCAUUCGGGCCCUUUUCUUCAAGCAUGAAACCCUUAUUUUAAAUUUAAUUUAAUUUUUAGUUUUUAAUUGAAUUUAGCUUUGAAUAAUUUUCAUGGAAGCAUUUGGCUCUUCUAAGUGGUGAAACAGAGAUUUGGAUCAAGAUAGGUUUGUCCAAUGUGUGACAAAACCGCCUUGACACCUCUCAAAUUCAUUAGCCAAUAUAACUAAUAAAUUCAUUAUCUAUGAUUUGUAGAAUUAAGGAAGAAAUUAAUGUAAAUAUUUAGAGUAUUUAAAUAUAAAAUAAUUGUUUUCUAAAUAUUUAUUUUUCUUUCUAUAGUAGUUUUUGGGAAUCACAUGUAACCUAAACUAAGGUAAAAGCAAAGCAAAUCAAUUGUUCAGGGCUGCGAUAUGGUCCAUGACUCCAUAACAGCAUGGCCCCCAGGGCUUUUGUCAUCCCUUAAUUGUGUUGUGGGCUGUCAUUUAUUUUCACAUGUACUUCAAUGGAAUGGUCAUUUUCAUUAAAUAAGGAAGUAGAAAAUUUAAAAACAAAAACAAAAAAAAGUCUAAACAAUGGAUUCUAAUAAUGUCUAAUGAUCAAUAAUAUUCUUUGGGGCUAUUUUUGAAAUUUUUUUAAUUAAAAAUUUUGAUUUAAAAUAUACUCUUCACAAAUUUUUGACUUAAAAUUGCUUUUAAGAAUUUCUUUUGAACACAUGUUAUUUUUAAAAUAAAUUUUAGGUAUUUUUAAAUAUUUUUUUAUUAAAUAUUUUAAGAAAUAAUUAAAAAUAUGAAGAAUAUUUUAAACACUUUUAUAUUUUUUAUGAGUAUACUUGAUUAUAAAGCUUGAGUCAAUUCUAUUUCUCUACGUAGGAGAUGUAGGGGGUUGUUUUUUAUUUAUUGAAUGAUAAGUUUGCCCUAAUGUAUUUCAACUUUCUUAUGAUUUAGAGUUUUGUUUUUAAAUAAUGAGAAAAAAAAAAUUAGAGUAUGACCACAAUUGAAAAAAAGAGAAAAACCUUUAUCAUUAUAAUCCUUCAUUUUUAUUUGAUUAAUUAAAAGUUAUUAUUCAUAUGAUCUCUUAUAAUUAAAAUUAUAUAUAAAUUAUUUAAAUAAAACUAUUAAGAGUGUGCUUGGUUUUGACUUUAGAAAGUAUUUUUACCAUUUAUAAUAUUUGAAAUAUAAAAAUUUUGAAGUAUUAAAAGUACUAAAAGUAUUUUUUAAAAUCAUUAUCAAAUGGACUCUAAAUAAGAUUAAAAUUUAUCGAAAAUCAAAUAAUAAAAAAUUUACUAAAAAUAAAUAUAAUUUAAAAUAUUCAAAAUUAAAACCUAAGACAAGUCAUCAUUAUGAUUUUUUUUUAAUAAAAUAUCAAAUAUAAAAUUGUUAAAAUCAAUUUUAUUUUUAAAAAUUAUAAUAAAACCAAAACAACUUCAAAUGCAUAAAGAUAAUGAAAAUUUAUUACGAUAAUGAUUAUGUAAAAAAUAAAGAUAACAUAAAAAUAAUAAGCAUUAAUAUUAAAUAGAUUUUAUGAAAUAUUUAUUUUCUAUGGCCUUAAUAAUUUUUUUUUAUUUUUACCUUAUAUAUAAAUAGUUAAGUUUAAUUUUUUAAUAGAAAAGGAGAAAACAAUUAUGACAGUAAACACAUAUAAUUUGUUACCCAUCAUGAAAUUAUUUUACAACUUCAAAAAUAACAUGAAUUCUAUACCACAACUUCAAAAAUAACAUGAAUUCUAAACUUCAAAAAUAACAUGAAUUCUAAACUUAAAAAAUAACAUGAAUUCUAAACCCAUAACGAGAAGAAAAAGCAUACACUAGAAGCUUGGAUGCAUACAUAUAAAAGACAUUGAUAUGCAAAAAAUAAGAAAAAAUAAAUAAAAAUAAAACUAGGAGAUGUGGUGCAGUGGUGAAGCUAGGUUGCAUUUAUUCUAUGUGCAGAAUUAAUUUGAGGCCGGUUGAGGAUCUCGAUUCUGUAACACUGGCUCGUUUACACAACAACAUUGGAAACGUGCUAUAUGGAGNNNNNNNNNNNNNNNNNNNNNNNNNNNNNNNNNNNNNNNNNNNNNNNNNNNNNNNNNNNNNNNNNNNNNNNNNNNNNNNNNNNNNNNNNNNNNNNNNNNNNNNNNNNNNNNNNNNNNNNNNNNNNNNNNNNNNNNNNNNNNNNNNNNNNNNNNNNNNNNNNNNNNNNNNNNNNNNNNNNNNNNNNNNNNNNNNNNNNNNNNNNNNNNNNNNNNNNNNNNNNNNNNNNNNNNNNNNNNNNNNNNNNNNNNNNNNNNNNNNNNNNNNNNNNNNNNNNNNNNNNNNNNNNNNNNNNNNNNNNNNNNNNNNNNNNNNNNNNNNNNNNNNNNNNNNNNNNNNNNNNNNNNNNNNNNNNNNNNNNNNNNNNNNNNNNNNNNNNNCUCCAUAUAGCACGAUCCCAAUGCUGUUGUGUAAACGAGCCAGUGUUACAGAAUCGAGAUCCUCAACCGGCCUCAAAUUAAUUCUGCACAUAGAAUAAACUCAACCGGCCUCAAAAAAUAUACAAAAAAAUGUUUGUUGAUUGUAUACUAUCGGAACUACUCUAGUUAAAAAUGUUUUGAAUGUUUGUUGAGACCCUUGUUUGAUGUUAUGGGCAUCUAAACAAACGCAUAAGAUAAUGGCUCCGUGGAAACUGGAAACAAACGGGUUUUUUCUUAGCUUUUAUAGAAUUUGUAAUGUUGGGUUUUGUUAGGUGUGUGUUCUUUCUCCUUCGAUUUGGUUAGAAGAAAUAAGGUGAAUUGGAAUUGGUUUGAAUAGUUUCCUGUGUUUUAAGUUUUAAGACCCCUUCAUCUUUCUUCCAUUUUUUUUUCCUCUUUAAAAAUUAUUAUAUUAUCCUUGGUUUUUUUUUUUUUUAUUGGAACAGAGAAUACGAUUAUAAAAUUUAAAAAUCUAUUAAAUAAUGCUUUUUAUUUUUUAUUUUUUUUAUCUUCAUAUUUUACAUAAACAUGAUUAAUACUAAUCAUUAUCCUAAGAUAUAUAUAUAUAGGGAGUAACUAUUAUAUUUUUUCUAAUAAUAUUUAACUAUAAAUAUUUUUUAGUGUUUCAAAAACUUCAAAUAAAAACAAAAUGUAAUCUUUGUUAAGCAUAAGACAUUUGUUAUUUCAUUUGAAAAUCAAUUAAUUACAGGUAAAUUCAAGCUUAAAUAGAUAUGAUUAUUUAGAAUUUUAAAUCUAUCAAUUAAUUAUGAUAUAAGUGAAUCCAACACAUAAAUAGACAGGCCAAGGUUCCAACCAGGCGCAGUGUUUUAAGUCUCAGACUGAAAUUUCUUCAACAUUAGGCCCAACUCCUAGGAUUCAAAGCUGGCCCAGUUCAUUUCUCCAAGUUUUAGAAAUAUCUUGUUUCUCAUUUCAGCUCAUUAAUUUACCAUCAAAAGUGAUAAUCCGUAUGUAAUUUUUAUUUUUUAUUUAAAAAAAAAAAUCUUUAAUAUAUAUGAUACUAUAUAUCUAUGAUACUAUAUAUUAAUUAGAAAACAUAAUGGAAUGAUUGUCAUCCUAAGACUUAAAUUGAAUUGAAAGAAAUCGAAACCGAUUAAAUCGACUUAAAUAAUUUCGCUAUUGUUAUUAAAUGAUCAAACUAAACUAGUUUAAGCUCAAUUAGUUUAAUUUUUAAUGCAAGAAAACAAUUACAUACAUUAGGUUUAAUUUUAAUGCUCAAAAAUCAAACAAUGGAUGCCCUUAUUUACUUUUAUACAAAGGAAUAAAAAAGGAUAUUUAUUUAUUUAUUUUUUAAAUAACUCUUAUUUUAAUGUUAGCUUUUAAAAAACUAUAUAUUAGCAGUAUUAUAAAAUAGAAAUUACCCAUCAGGAAGUAUUUACUCGCUUUUUAUUGUUUUUAAUGUAUGAUUUAAAAAUAAUAAUAUUUAAAAUAAUAUAUAUAUAUCCAUUCACUUGGGAUUCUUCCAAAGCAUUUCUAACUAUUAAUGAUAAUAUUACAAAUUUAAAAUAUUUCAAUCAAAAUCAAUUUCAAAUGGAGUUAUGAUGAAUUUUGAUUCUUCCUAUUCUCAUUCUCAUUCUCAUUUUUAUUAAAGUAAUCUCAAUGGAAUCACAUGGAUGCUCUCUGAUUUGAUUUUGGAUAAUGGGGUUUGGCAAGAGGCAAAACAAAAGUAUAAUAAUUGAGAGGCAGAUUGAAGUGAUCCCAGGUGCUUUUCUUGUAGCAUUGUUACUUCCUUUGGGCCCUUUUCUUCAAGCAUGAAAAUCUUAUUUUUAAUUUAAUUUAAUUUAUAGUUUUUAAUUGAAUUUAGCUUGGAAUAAUUUUCGUGAAAGCAUUUGGCUCUUCUAAGUGGUGAAACAGAGAUUUGGCUCAAGAUAGGUUUGUCCAAUGUGACAAAACCGCCUUGACACCUCUCAAAUUCAUUAGCCAAUUGAACUAAAAUUCAUUAUCUAUGAUUUGUAGAAUUAAGGUAGAAAUUAAUGUAAAUAUUUAGAGUAUUUAAAUAUAAAAUAAUAGUUUUCUAAAUAUUUAUUUUUCUUUCUAUAGUAGUUUUUGGGAAUCACAUGUAACCUAAACUAAGGUAAAAGUAAGAGUUUAAAUCCAAAAUAAUCAAUUGGUAGAAAAAAAUGGAAAAAAUAGUAUCAAUUUCAAAAUAUUUGUCAAACUAAUUUUUUGUAUCCACGUAACCAUCCAUAUGAAUUUUUUUUUUUCAAGUGUAAUUCUUAGAACCACAAUCAUAGCAUGUGGUUUUAUAAUUUUCCUUAAAACCACAGUCAGUGACUAUGGUUUCAAAAUUAUUUUUAAUUCACUCGUUUUAAUGGUAUUGUGAUUUUAAUAUUAUUUUUAAAAGAUCCUUUAUCAUAAUAACCAUAAAACUAAAGGAAUAACCUAAAAUCAUAAUCAUUGGCAUUAUUUUUUGUAUGAAAAUGUAAAAUUUGAAAAUAAAAUAAACAAUUUGUUUAGUUAUUUUNNNNNNNNNNNNNNNNNNNNNNNNNNNNNNNNNNNNNNNNNNNNNNNNNNNNNNNNNNNNNNNNNNNNNNNNNNNNNNNNNNNNNNNNNNNNNNNNNNNNGCAUAUAACCAUACAUCAACUAAAAAACUAAUAAUGAGAUUUUAGAACUUUGGGGAAAAUUUCCUCACGAUAUACCAAAUUUCCUUAAAGGAAAAUUUCAUACAAUUUUCCAUUGUCAGUUUAAAAUUAUUUUUUUUUACAAAUUAUCCUUAAUAAUUUUUUUUCUUUAUGACAGUUUUAAAAUUAUAUAUAUAUAUCUUUAUUUUUUCAUAUUUUCCUUGAAAUUUUGAGAAAAUAAUUUCGCCCACAUGCAUUCUCAUAAAAAUUUAUAUAUUUAUGGUAAAUAAAAUAUUUAUUUGUUUAAUAAAUUUUAUCACAUAUGAAUUAAAGAAAAUUAAUUUUUCAUAUUAUUUUUAAAUUUUAAAAUAACUAAACAAAUUGUUUAUAUUAUUUUCAAAUUUUACAUUUUCAUACAAAAAAUAAUGCCAAUGAUUAUGAUUUUAGGUUAUUCCUUUAGUUUUAUGGUUAUUAUGAUAAAGAAUAUUUUAAAAUUAAUAUUAAAAUCACAAUACCAUUAAAAUGAGGGUGUAUUAAAAAUAAUUUUGAAACCACAGUUAUUAACUGUGGUUCUAAGGAAAUUUGUAAAACCAUAAUUUGUGACAGUGGUUUUAAAGAUAUUUUUGAAACUCUUAAAACCACAGUUACCAAUAGUGGUUUUUUACACUUAAAAAAAGAAAAAACCAAUGUGGAUGCUUACGUGGAUACAAAAGAUUACUUUAACAAAUAUUUUGAAAUUGAUAUUAUUCUUAGCAUUUUUUUAUUUAUUAAAAUGGAUUAUUUUGGACUUAAACUCUAAAAGUAAAAGCAAAUCAAUUGUUCAGGGCUGCGAUAUGGUCCAUAACAACAUGGGCCCCGGGGCUUUUGUCAUCUCUUAAUUGUGUUGUGGGCUCUUAUUUAUUUUCGCAUGUACUUUAAUGGAAUGGUCAUUUUUAUUAAAUAAGGAACUAGAGAAUUUAAAAAAAUAAAAAAUAAAAAACAACAAGUUUAAACCAUGGAUUCUAAUAAUGUCUAAUGAUCAAUAAUUUUUUUGGGGGCUAUUUUUGAAAAUAUUUUUUUAUUUUUUAAAAAUAAAAAUAUUUUUUUAUUAAAAAAUUGAUUUAAAAUAUACUCUUCACAAACUUUUGACUUAAAAUUGCUUUUAAGAAUUUAUUUUAAACAGAUGUUAUUUUUAAAAUAAAUUUGGGUAUUUUUAUACAAUUUUUAUUUUAAAUAUUUUAAAAAACAAUUAAAAAUAUGAAGAAUAUUUUAAACACUUUUAUGUUAUAUAUGAGUUUACUGUUUGAUUAUAAAGCUUUAGUAAAUUCUAUUGCUCUAUAUAAGAGAUGUGGGGGGUUGUUUUUUAUUUAUUGAAUGAUGAGUUCGCUAUAAUGUAUUUCAACCUCUUACAUUUCUUUGUUUUUGUUCUUGUAUGUGAUUAGAUUUAAAAAACUCUUUUUCAUAUUUACAUUUGUAAAUAGAAUUUUGUUAGUAAAAAAACUGUAAGAAUUAUUUUUAAAAACUAUUUUUGAAAAGGCUUUUCAACAAGGUCUUUUAACUCUUUUUUUUUAUUUUUUCCUUUUCUAUAUUAGCAGUUUUAUUUUUUAUUUUUGGAAAUUCAUGUUGCUUUUGCGUGACUACUAUAAGCUGCAACAGUUCUAGAUUCUAGGUUUAUUGUAUUUUGGUAACGAUUAUUAUUAUUAUUCAACCACAGCUCAACAAGAUAUUGAUGAAUUUUUGUAGGCAAUAGAUGUUUUGAAAUUGAUGUUUGGAUGUAUCUCAAAUUUUUUUAAAAUAUGUUCUUGAAACAAUGAUGAGGUUUACUAUUUUUAUAACCAUAAGAAAAUCUUAAUCUUAAUGGAUUUGUAAUUUUGUAGGUUUCUAAAUAAUGGAUUUGAUUUUUAUUUUUUGUUCCCUCUUGUUUUCAAAAACACCAGAAAAAGUUGUUUCAGAUUUUAUAUAUAUAUAUAUAUAUAUAUAUAUAUUCUUGUUUUUAAAAUUUGUGUUUAUUGUUUUGUAUUUUUUAAAUUAGAAAACUGUUUUUAAGUUAUAUAACCAAACAGAGUUUAACUAAUUUAUAAAAGUUUAAUAAUUAUUAUUUAUAACUCAAAAUAUUAUAUUAAGUCGUAUUAUCUCUUCUAAUAGAAACUAAAUAUAUACUCUUUAAAGUAAAUUAUUAAAUAAGAUUAAACUUUAUAAAAAAAGUCAAAUAACAUAAAAUUUUCAUAAAAGAUCAAUAUAUUUUAAAAUACUCAAAAUUAAAACCUAGAAGAAACCACGAAAUUUAUUUAAUAAAAUAUCAAAUAUAAAAUUGUAAAAAUCAAUUAAAAAAAAAAAAAACCAAAACAAACUUCAAAUACGUUAAGAUAAUGAAAGUGUAUUAGUAUAAUGAUUAUCUAAAAAUGAAGAUAAAAAAGCAUUAGUAUUAAAUAUAUAUUUAUGAAAUAUCUAUUUAUUUUUAAAAUUUUUAUAGAAGUCCCAUAGGGAGUAAUUGUUAUAUUUUUUUAAAUAAUAUUUAACUAUAAAUAUUUUUUUAGUGUUUUGAAAACUUCAAAUACAAACAAAUGUGAUCUUUGUUAGGCAUAAGAAAUUAGUUAUUUCAUUUUAAAAACAAUUGAUUAUUGGAAAAAUCAAGUCAAUUUUGUUAAAUAAAUAUGAUUAUUUAUAAUUUUAAAUCUAUCAAUUAAUUAUGAUAUAAGUGAAUCUAACACAUAAAUAGACAGGCCAAGGUUCAAACCAAGCCCAGUGUUUAUGUUUAAGUCUCCAGACUGAAAUUUCUUCAACAUUAGGCCCAACUCGUAGGAUUCAAAGCAGGCCCAGUUCAUUUCUCCAAUUUUUAGAAAUAUCUUGUUUCUCAUUUCAGCUCAUUAAUUUACUAUCAAAAGUGAUAAUCAGUAUGUAAAUUUACUAUAUUUAUUUGAUUGUAAAAAAUUAUCAAGGAAAGAAAAAAAAAGUUAAAUAAAAUAAUUUUCUUAUAUUUUAUUUUAUUAUGACAGAUAAAAAAAAGUCAAAUAUAAUUAAAAUUAAUAAAAAAUUUAUAUAUUUUUAAAUUAUUUAAUUUUUAUAUUAAAAAAUUAAAUAAAUAAAUUGAGUUUAAAGUAUGAUAUAAAAAUAAUUUAUUAAUUUUAAAUCUACUUUUAAUUUUUCUUUACUGGCUUUCCUUUUAUUAUUUCUUUAUAAUUUAUUUUAUUGUAUUUUCCCUCAAAAUUUUUAAGAAUCAAAUAUAGCCAAAAAAUUUAUUUUCCUUAUAAAUAUAUAUAUAUAAAAGAAGAUAAGUUUAGUUGUUAAUAGAAAAGAAGAAAAAGUAACAUAUGGUAACAUUGAAUAAUUCAACAAACUUUUUUAAGUGGUUAGGCUUGGGCAAAUCCUUUUUUAAGUUUUGGAGGUUUUCUUUUUUCUUUUUCACCUUGAACUUACAAGAUUAUUGAUUUAGUAGGGGUGGGGUGUAAAAUAAGUAGAAAUAGAUGAAAAUUUUAUUUAUUUUGUAUUUUUUUUUCUGCCAAUCUAGAAAUAAGAUAUUAUGACAGUAAGUACACAUGAUUUAUUACCCACCAUGAAAUUAUUUUACAACAACUUUAAAAAUGACAUGAAUUUUAAACACACAAGGUGAACAAAAUGCUUACACAAAAAGCUUCGAUCCAUGCACGUAAAAGACAUUGAUAUGCAAAAAAUAAGAAAAAAAUAAAGAAAAAUAAAACUUGGAGGUGUGGUGCAGGGUGAAGCUAGAAAACAAUGCCCUCCAACUAUGAUGAUGUCAUACUUGUCUUAGUCUUUAUUAAUUUAUGGAGGUGAUACCACGAAUCUUGUCGAA
rnacentral:lncRNA from 1 species